rnacentral:rRNA from 1 species
UACGUAGGAGACGAGCGUUGUCCGGAGUUACUGGGCGUAAAGUGUGCGCAGGCGGCACCGCAAGUCGAGUGUGAAAGCCCCGGGCUUAACUUGGGAAUUGCGCUCGAAACUAUGGUGCUGGAGUGUGGCAGAGGAAGGUGGAAUUCCGGGUGUAGCGGUGAAAUGCGCAGAUAUCAGGAGGAACACCGGUGGCGAAGGCGGGUCUCUGGGCCGAUACUGACGCUGAGGCACGAAAGCGUGGGGAGCAAACAGG